rnacentral:pre_miRNA from 1 species
GCACCACAGGUGGUAAGUUGUUUUGUAUUGUAUUGUAUUGUUUAAUACAAAACAACUUACCACCUGUGGUGC